rnacentral:rRNA from 1 species
CCUACGGGGGGCUGCAGUGGGGAAUAUUGCGCAAUGGGCGAAAGCCUGACGCAGCAACGCCGCGUGAGUGAUGAAGGCCUUCGGGUUGUAAAGCUCUGUCUUUUGGGACGAUAAUGACGGUACCCGAGGAAGAAGCCACGGCUAACUACGUGCCAGCAGCCGCGGUAAUACGUAGGUGGCAAGCGUUGUCCGGAUUUACUGGGCGUAAAGGAUGCGUAGGCGGAUAUUUAAGUGAGAUGUGAAAUACCCGAGCUUAACUUGGGUGCUGCAUUUGAAACUGGAUAUCUAGAGUGCGGGAGAGGAGAGUGGAAUUCCUAGUGUAGCGGUGAAAUGCGUAGAUAUUAGGAGGAACACCAGUGGCGAAGGCGACUUUCUGGACCGUAACUGACGCUGAGGCGCGAAAGCGUGGGGAGCAAACAGGAUUAGAUACCCGUGUAGUC